GAAUAUUAGUCAAUGAUCGAAAGAUUGAUCUAGUUACUUAGAAAGAUGAAGAUUAUAAAAAAAAUAAAAAUGAAAAUAAUAAUGAAGAAUAUAAAAUCAAUGUAUAUAUAAAUGAAUAAUGAUGAUUAUAUAUAUAGAAGUCUUAACCAAAAUUAGUGCCAGCAGUUGCGGCUAAACUAAGGAGGCAAACGUUAAUCAUUAAUGGCUUAAAGGAUCCGUAGAAUGAUAUAGUAAAAAUACAUAUUAGAGUUAAAUUGAAUAAUUAUGAAAAAUUAUAUUGAGAGAUGAAAUGUGUGGAAAAUAAUUAGACAAAUAAACGUGAAGAUAAAAUUAAAGAUUUAACUGACAUUGAGGGAUGAAGGCAUGAUUAGCAAAACGGAUUAGAUACCCGAGUAGUUCAUGCAGUAAACGAUGAAUACUUCAAAAGAAAAGCGAAAGCUAAAGUAUUCCGCCAGGAGAGUAUAGCUUCAAAGUAGAAAUCCAAGACAAUAGACGGUUACAGUUGUAGGCAGUGGAUUGUGUUAUUUAAU
rnacentral:rRNA from 1 species